CCCAUAUCUUCUCUGUUUCAGCUUCUUCAUUUGCAAAGUGAAUUCUACCCCCAAAGUUGUGAAUAUUAAGUCAAUACAUAUAAAAGCUGAGAACAGUGUCUAAGAUUCAUAUACUAUGUUACAGGUUUCACUUCUCCACAGUCCUUCAGAGCAGAGAACAUCAAGGAUGUAAUGUUUCAAGUAAGUAAAUGAGACCAUGCUAUCACUCCAGUCUGCUUUGGGAAAC
rnacentral:lncRNA from 1 species